UCAUGGGUUUGAGAGAGGGCAAAAGGGUUCUUCCCUAAAAAUCAAUCCAACACAAAUCUACCCCAAUUGUUGAUCUUAGAAGCUGGAAUUUUAUGCAUGAAGCUUUAUCUAAGCUUAAUUAAGUACUCUUGAUCUAAGGACAAUAAAGGAAGAAAGUUCAAGUUGAUCACAAGUAAAGGAAAAGCAAGGCCAAGGUAAAUCGCAUGCUUGAACUCGGCGGCUCGGAAUGAACACUCUACAAGGCCUGUACGCGCUUCUGAAUGCAAGAUUUGUCAAACGGGUCGAAACUUAAUGUUAACUUUUGAAACUUUGUAAAUUUAGCUUUUAUGGUAUUUUGUUAACAUGAUAAAUUGAUGUAAGUUAGUUGUGAAGUUUAUGACUAUC